GGGGUGGUCCGUAUUUAUAGGGAGGAAAACCCACAACACCCUCGUCUAUUAGUAAUAUGGAACUAAUAGAUGGUGUACCCCUCUUACACUAAUGAGCCUUUGAGAUUUAUUCAGAAUUAUUUAUAUGGGCCAAGCCCAUGUAUCUAACAGAGAUGGCAGAUUUCGGUGUUUUGUUGGCUUAUUCUAGUUGGCCAAUACUGAAAGAUAUGACAUAUUUGACUGUGGAAAUGAAGGGGUGGCAACACUUUGGGACUUCA
rnacentral:lncRNA from 1 species